ACACCUAGCAUUGCAGGUGUGGCUGCUGUGUCACAUGUACGUCAGUAGGCGGCAGAGAGGAGAGAGGCUAUGUCUGUGCCCAGUGAUCUGACCAAUGAAUAUAUGAAUGAUUAGUAGCCUAACAUU